rnacentral:rRNA from 1 species
GAUGAACGCUGGCGGCGUGCCUAAUACAUGCAAGUCGAGCGAACAGACGAGGAGCUUGCUCCUCUGACGUUAGCGGCGGACGGGUGAGUAACACGUGGAUAACCUACCUAUAAGACUGGGAUAACUUCGGGAAACCGGAGCUAAUACCGGAUAAUAUAUUGAACCGCAUGGUUCAAUAGUGAAAGACGGUUUUGCUGUUACUUAUAGAUGGAUCCGCGCCGCAUUAGCUAGUUGGUAAGGUAACGGCUUACCAAGGCAACGAUGCGUAGCCGACCUGAGAGGGUGAUCGGCCACACUGGAACUGAGACACGGUCCAGACUCCUACGGGAGGCAGCAGUAGGGAAUCUUCCGCAAUGGGCGAAAGCCUGACGGAGCAACGCCGCGUGAGUGAUGAAGGUCUUCGGAUCGUAAAACUCUGUUAUUAGGGAAGAACAAAUGUGUAAGUAACUAUGCACGUUUUGACGGUACCUAAUCAGAAAGCCACGGCUAACUACGUG